rnacentral:rRNA from 1 species
AGUGAACGCUGGCGGCGUGCUUAACACAUGCAAGUCGAACGAGAACGGGUUAUAGCUUGCUAUAAUUGUCAGCUAAGUGGCGCACGGGUGAGUAAUGUAUAGGUAAUAUGCCUCUUACUAAGGGAUAACAAAUGGAAACGUUUGCUAAUACCUUAUACUCCUUAUUAACAUAAGUUAAUAAGGGAAAGAUUUAUUGGUAAGAGAUUAGCCUGUAUUGUAUCAGUUAGUUGGUGGGGUAAUGGCUUACCAAGACUAUGACACAUAACUGGUUUGGGAGGAUGAUCAGUCACACUGGAACUUAGACACGGUCCAGAUUCCUACGGGAGGCAGCAGUGGGGAAUAUUGCACAAUGGACGAAAGUCUGAUGCAGCAACGCCGCGUGGAGGAUGACACAUUUCGGUGCGUAAACUCCUUUUAUAUGAGAAGAUAAUGACGGUAUUAUAUGAAUAAGCACCAGCUAACUCCGUGCCAGCAGCCGCCGUAA